AGCAGCCGCGGUAAUUCCAGCUCCAAUAGCGUAUAUUAAAGUUGUUGCAGUUAAAAAGCUCGUAGUUGAAUUUCGGGGUUAGUAGAUUGGUCGUGCCUCCGGUACGUACUGGUCUUACUGAUUCCUCCUUCUUGAAGAACUGUAAUGCCAUUAAUUUGGUGUUAUGGGGAAUCUAGACUGUUACUUUGAAAAAUUAGAGUGUUUAAAGCAGGCUAACGCUUGAAUACAUUAGCAUGGAAUAAUGAAAUAGGACGUUCGAUCCUAUUUUGUUGGUUUCUAGGAUUGACGUAAUGAUUAAUAGGGAUAGUUGGGGGCAUUAGUAUUCAAUUGUCAGAGGUGAAAUUCUUGGAUUUAUUGAAGACUAACUACUGCGAAAGCAUUUGCCAAGGAUGUUUUCAUUAAUCAA
rnacentral:rRNA from 1 species